GACGAACGCUGGCGGCGUGCUUAACACAUGCAAGUCGAGCGAUGAAGUUCCUUCGGGAAUGGAUUAGCGGCGGACGGGUGAGUAACACGUGGGUAACCUGCCUCAUAGAGGGGAAUAGCCUUCCGAAAGGAAGAUUAAUACCGCAUAAGAUUGUAGUUUCGCAUGAUACAGCAAUUAAAGGAGUAAUCCGCUAUGAGAUGGACUCGCGUCGCAUUAGCUAGUUGGUGAGGUAACGGCUCACCAAGGCGACGAUGCGUAGCCGACCUGAGAGGGUGAUCGGCCACAUUGGGACUGAGACACGGCCCAGACUCCUACGGGAGGCAGCAGUGGGGAAUAUUGCACAAUGGGGGAACCCCUGAUGCAGCAACGCCGCGUGAGUGAUGACGGUCUUCGGAUUGUAGAGCUCUGUCUUCAGGGACGAUAAUGACGGUACCUGAGGAGGAAGCCACGGCUAACUACGUGCCAGCCGCCGCCGUAAGAC
rnacentral:rRNA from 1 species